rnacentral:rRNA from 1 species
CAGUUGGUCACUAUGUGUUCCGACAUGGUAAUGGGAACAAUUUAAAAACGUUAUCGAGGAUCUAUUGGAGGGCAAGUCUGGUGCCAGCAGCCGCGGUAAUUCCAGCUCCAAUAGCGUAUAUUAAAGUUGUUGCGGUUAAAAAGCUCGUAGUUGGAUCUACGACCAAGUUCUGUGGUCUUUCAGCUUGGAUGUACUGCAUGAACUGGUCCUUUUCUCUAGUAUUCUAUUGAUGCUCUUCACUGAGUGUCUCUAGUUGCUGGAACUUUUACCUUGAAAAAAUUGAAGUGCUCAAAGCAGGCUUUCAGCCUGAACAUUGCUGCAUGGGAUAAUAGAAUAGGACUUCGGUUCUAUUUUGUUGGUUUUCGGAACACGAAGUAAUGAUUAAUAGGGACAGACGGGGGCAUUCGUAUUGCUACGUUAGAGGUGAAAUUCUUGGAUCGUAGCACGACGCACGACUGCAAAAGCAUUUGCCAA